rnacentral:rRNA from 1 species
AUUGGACGCUGGCGGCAUGCUUUACACAUGCAAGUCGAACGGCAGCGCGGGGCAACCUGGCGGCGAGUGGCGAACGGGUGAGUAAUACAUCGGAACGUACCCAGAAGUGGGGGAUAACGUAGCGAAAGUUACGCUAAUACCGCAUACGUUCUACGGAAGAAAGUGGGGGACCUUCGGGCCUCAUGCUUUUGGAGCGGCCGAUGUCUGAUUAGCUAGUUGGUGAGGUAAAGGCUCACCAAGGCGACGAUCAGUAGCUGGUCUGAGAGGACGACCAGCCACACUGGGACUGAGACACGGCCCCGACUCCUACGGGAGGCAGCAGUGGGGAAUUUUGGACAAUGGGCGCAAGCCUGAUCCAGCAAUGCCGCGUGAGUGAAGAAGGCCUUCGGGUUGUAAAGCUCUUUUGUCAGGGAAGAAACGGCUGAGGAUAAUACCUUCGGCUAAUGACGGUACCUGAAGAAUAAGCACCGGCUAACUACGUG